rnacentral:rRNA from 1 species
GACGAACGCUGGCGGCGUGCUUAACACAUGCAAGUCGAACGGAAAGGCCCUGCUUUUGUGGGGUUCUCGAGUGGCGAACGGGUGAGUAACACGUGAGUAACCUGCCCUUGACUUUGGGAUAACUUCAGGAAACUGGGGCUAAUACCGUAUAGGAGCUCCUGCUGCAUGGUGGGGGUUGGAAAGUUUCGGCGGGUGGGGAUGGACUCGCGGCUGAUCGGCUUGUUGGUGGGGGAGUGGCUUACCAAGGCUUUGACGGGUAGCCGGCAUGAGAGGGUGGCCGGCGACAUUGGGACUGAGAUACGGACCAGACUCCUACGGGAGGCAGCAGUGGGGAAUAUUGCACAAUGGGAGGAAGCCUGAUGCAGAAACGCCGCGUGCGGGAUGACGGCCUUCGGGUUGUGAACCGCUUUCGCCUGUGACGAAGCGUGAGUGACGGUAAUGGGUAAAGAAGCACCGGCUAACUACGUG